UUGAGAGGUGACGUGUGUAACUAGAGUACCUAUAAAUAUUUAGUGAGCAGCCGCAGCAGCGAAGAACGGAAGCUUCAUAUCUCGAUCCGAUCGCCGUCUUCACUGCUCUGAAACAACAUUUUUGUCACGCGAUAGGCGAAAGCUUUUAAUCCCUUGUCUGCCUCCAGAAAGGAGCCUACCAAUUGUAGCCAUCGCUAAAGAGAGAAAGGGAUGUACCUCUGCUUCUGUAAGGAGAGUCCGAAACGACCGAUUAUUCUUUGUGAAUCGGGGACGAAAACUCUGGAAGGAACUUCGCUUGAUAAGGAGAAGACGGAUCAGAAGGGUGCAGGCGGAGGUGACGGCGGAUGCCGGCGAGGCGGGCGGAGAUGAGCCUUAACUGCCGUAGGCACAGGCCCUACGAUGAAGAUCGGCAGAGAUCAUGAAUGCGACUCUCCCGCAAUGAGACGAAUAUUCUUAGCUAAGUAUUUCGAACUUAUUUUUUGCAUUUCGAAACUAUAUUUUUUAAUAUUGCCCCCAUAGACUAAAAUAACAACAAUGCAUAAACAUUAAUUUAAAGAUUUUUGUUAACUAAA